rnacentral:rRNA from 1 species
GAUGAACGCUGGCGGCGUGCCUAAUACAUGCAAGUCGAGCGAAGCGGGGACGGGUGAGUAACACGUGGAUAACCUCCUAUAAGACUGGGAUAACUUCGGGAAACCGGAGCUAAACCGGAUACUUACAGCUGGAUCCGCGCUGCAUUAGCUAGUUGGAAAGGUAACGGCUUACCAAGGCAACGAUGUAUAGACGACCUGUGAGGGUGAUCUGCCACACUGGCACUGAGACACGGUCCAUGCUCCUACGUGAGGCAGCAGUAGUGAAUCUUCCGCAAAGGGCGAAAGCCUGACGGAGAAACGCCGCGUGCGUGAUGAAGGUCCUCGGAGCGUAAAACUCUGUUAUUAGGUAAGCGGUACCUGAUCAGAAAGCCACGGCUAACUACGUGCCAGCCGCCGCGGUAAUAC